rnacentral:rRNA from 1 species
UCGAGAAUCUUCCGCAAUGGGCGCAAGCCUGACGGAGCGACGCCGCGUGCGGGAUGAAGGCCUUCGGGUUGUAAACCGCUGUCAGAGAGGCGGAAAUGCCAUAGGGUUCUCUCUAUGGUUUGACCUAAUCUCAGAGGAAGUGCAGGCUAAGUUCGUGCCAGCAGCCGCGGUAAUACGAACUGCACAAACGUUAUUCGGAAUCACUGGGCUUAAAGAGUCCGUAGGCGGCCUGGAAGGUGAGGUGUGAAAUCCCACAGCCCAACUGUGGAACUGCGCUUCAAACCGUCAGGCUUGAGGAAGACAGGGGUGAGCGGAACUGAUGGUGGAGCGGUGAAAUGCGUUGAUAUCAUCAGGAACACCGGUGGCGAAGGCGGCUCACUGGGUCUUUUCUGACGCUGAGGGACGAAAGCUAGGGGAGCGAACGGGAUUAGAUACCCGCGUAGUCC